rnacentral:rRNA from 1 species
AUCUCUCAUUUUAUUCCACAAAGCAAAAUUAUUCAUAUAGUGGGGUUGGCGGCUCUAUGUUGGGCUAUUUGGAAGCUUAGGACUAGAGCACUCUUUCAUAACAAACUUGUGAAAUCUCCAGCUGAAUUUGUAUGUUAUGCUUGUUCUUUCCUACAAUAUUGGGCAGGGUUGCAAAAUGAUGAGGACAAGAAGAUUGUGCAACAAGGAGUUGAUCCGUUGCAGCAUGUGGCGCUGGAGAUGCAUGUUGUUGUGCAUGCGUCGAGGAAUGAUGAAGCCCUUCUACUAAGAGCAGACAUGAUACACAAGCUGGGGGAACGACAAGGGAUACUAAGAUCGAGAAAAAUGAAGAUGAAGAAGCUGACGCAUAGAUCAAAGGAUAACAUGUGUUUCCAUUUUGCUCCCUUUGAGGGUGAAGAUGUGCAGUUGUGA